CAAGUCGAGCGGCAGCGCGGGGCAACCUGGCGGCGAGCGGCGAACGGGUGAGUAAUGCAUCGGAACAUGUCCAUGUCGUGGGGGAUAGCCCGGCGAAAGCCGGAUUAAUACCGCAUAAGCCCGAGAGGGGAAAGCCGGGGACCGCAAGGCCUGGCGCGAUUGGGUUGGCCGAUGUCCGAUUAGCUAGUUGGCGGGGUAAGAGCCCACCAAGGCGAUGAUCGGUAGCUGGCCUGAGAGGAUGAUCAGCCACACUGGGACUGAGACACGGCCCAGACUCCUACGGGAGGCAGCAGUGGGGAAUUUUGGACAAUGGGGGAAACCCUGAUCCAGCCAUUCCGCGUGAGUGAAGAAGGCCUUCGGGUUGUAAAGCUCUUUUGUCCGGAACGAAACGGUUACGGCUAAUACCUGUGACUACUGACGGUACCGGAAGAAUAAGCACCGGCUAACUACGUGCCAGCAGCCGCGGUAAUACGUAGGGUGCGAGCGUUAAUCGGAAUUACUGGGCGUAAAGCGUGCGCAGGCGGUUUUGUAAGCCAGAUGUGAAAUCCCCGGGCUUAACCUGGGAAUGGCAUUUGGGACUGCAAGGCUUGAGUGCGGCAGAGGAGACUGGAAUUCCUGGUGUAGCAGUGAAAUGCGUAGAUAUCAGGAGGAACACCGAUGGCGAAGGCAGGUCUCUGGGCUGACACUGACGCUCAUGCACGAAAGCGUGGGGAGCAAACAGGAUUAGAUACCCUGGUAGUCCACGCCCUAAACGAUGUCGACUGGUUGUUGGGGGUUUUGACACUCUCAGUAACGAAGCUAACGCGUGAAGUCGACCGCCUGGGGAGUACGGCCGCAAGGUUAAACUCAAAGGAAUUGACGGGGACCGCACAAGCGGUGGA
rnacentral:rRNA from 1 species